CAAAGAUCGAUGCUUGACUGAACUUGCAGGUGUGGCCUACCUACCGAGCUUAUCAGCUGAUUUUUGAGAAGUAUGAUCUUCACGGACCUCUUAAGAAAGUGACAAGUUGAUGGGAAAGAUGGUGCAGUACCGUCGCCUUCAUAUAGAUGGCUCCUCGCACGGCAACGCAGGUGAUUUUGGAGGUAGGGACUUCUGCAGGGGGCCAAUGGUGAGCUGCUUUUUGCCUUCUCUGAUGUUUAUGGACAGGGACCCAAUGUCUGAGAAGAAGGCUGCACAAUUGUGGAGGGGCUCAGGAUUUGUGUGGAGUGGAUUUUUAAAAGGAUUCAAAUUGAAACUGACUCCAGAGUCUUUGUAGAUAUACUCAAUUCGAAAGGAACUUCCAAUUGAAACUAAUGGUAUUGGAGGGCCCAUAUUGAGUCUCUAAGGAAGGAUAGAGAGGUCGUCAUUGUCUUUGCCCAUAGUGAAGUAAAUGAGGUAGCGGAUGCUUUGGCAAAACUAGAGAGCCUCACUCAAGAGUAGAGGGUCCUUGAAGAGUCCAGUCAUCCCCACCUCAUCUGGGGUUUACUAUUUCUAAAUUGGGUGGGUUUGGGUCAAAGUUAGAGAAAGAUUCCGUCCACUUAAUUUCAUUGUAGGCUGUAGAGUCGAUCAUGAUAGGCGACCUGAGGCGAAAUUUGGGGGUUGCCUGAAGGUCCCCUUAUUGUACAACCCUUUUUGUGAAUAAAUUUUCUUUUCUUUUCUCCAAAACAAAAAA